rnacentral:rRNA from 1 species
GUCUAAGGCCAUAGCACCCUGAACGCGCCCUAUCUCAUUUGAUCUCGGAAGCUAAGCAGGGUCGGGCCUGGUUAGUACUUGGGUGGGAGACCACCUGGGCAUACCGGGUGCUGUAGGCU